GUGGUUGUAGUUUAAGGUAAAGAAUGCUGUACUGUAGAUACGGAGGAGAUUUUAGUAAAUCCAAUCAUG
rnacentral:tRNA from 1 species